rnacentral:rRNA from 1 species
AUAUUGCACAAUGGGCGCAAGCCUGAUGCAGCCAUGCCGCGUGUAUGAAGAAGGCCUUCGGGUUGUAAAGUACUUUCAGCGGGGAGGAAGGCGAUAAGGUUAAUAGCCUUGUCGUUUGACGUUAUCCGUAGAAGAAGCACCGGCUAACUCCGUCCCAGCAUCCGCGGUAAUACGGAGGGUGCAAGCGUUAAUCGGAAUUACUGGGCGUAAAGCGCACGCAGGCGGUCUGGCAAGUCGGAUGUGAAAUCCCCGGGCUCAACCUGGGAACUGCAUUCGAAACUGGCAGGCUAGAGUCUUGUAGAGGGGGGUAGAAUUCCAGGUGUAGCGGUGAAAUGCGUAGAGAUCUGGAGGAAUACCGGUGGCGAAGGCGGCCCCCUGGACAAAGACUGACGCUCAGGUGCGAAAGCGUGGGGAGCAAAC